ACUGGGUGUGAUGGCACAUGCCUGUAAUCCCAGCAGUUUGGGAGGCUGAGACAGGAGGAUGGCUUGAGCCCAGGAGUUUGAGGGCAAACUAGGCAAUGUAACAAAACCCCAUCUCUU
rnacentral:sRNA from 1 species